rnacentral:misc_RNA from 1 species
GAAAUGCGAUAAGUAGUGUGAAUUGCAGAAUUCAGUGAAUCAUCGAAUCUUUGAACGCACACUGCGCCCCUUGGUAUUCCAUGGGGCAUGCCUGUUCGAGCGUCAUUUGUACCCUCAAGCUCUGCUUGGUGUUGGGUGUUUGUCCCCGUCUCCGCGCGUGGACUCGCCCCAAAGUGAUUGGCAGCCGGCGUACUGGUCCCGGAGCGCAGCACAUGUCGCGCAAACGAGUGCCUUGGUACGGCGGCGUCCAUAAGCCCCUCUCUCACGCUCUUGACCUCGGAUCAGGUAGGGAUACCCGCUGAACUUAAGC